UGUGCACUGGUGGGGUCCCUCGGCCUGGCCUGCGCACUCUCGCAAUCCAGGACCCCUCGGGGCAUGUCCGAGAGCCUGUUUUGCCCUGAUCCUGCAGGCCAGGCCGAGGGACCCCACUGGUGCACG
rnacentral:pre_miRNA from 1 species